rnacentral:rRNA from 1 species
GACGAACGCUGGCGGCGUGCUUAACACAUGCAAGACGAACGGAAAGGCCCUGCUUUUGUGGGGUGCUCGAGUGGCGAACGGGUGAGUAACACGUGAGUAACCUGCCCUUGACUUUGGGAUAACUUCAGGAAACUGGGGCUAAUACCGGAUAGGAGCUCCUGCUGCAGGGUGGGGGUUGGAAAGUUUCGGCGGUUGGGGAUGGACUCGCGGCUUAUCAGCCUGUUGGUGGGGUAGUGGCUUACCAAGGCUUUGACGGGUAGCCGGCCUGAGAGGGUGACCGUCCACCUUGGGACUGCGGUACGGCCCCGACUCCUACGGGAGGCAGCAGUGGGGAUUAUUGCACCAUGGGCGGAAGCCUGAUGCAGCCCCGCCGCGUGCGGGAUGACGGCCUUCGGGUUGUAAACCGCUUUCGCCUGUGACGAAGCGUGAGUGACGGUAAUGGGUAAAGAAGCACCCGCUAACUACGUG